rnacentral:rRNA from 1 species
GACGAACGCUGGCGGCGUGCCUAAUACAUGCAAGUCGAGCGCAGGAAACUGACGGAACUCUUCGGAGGGAAGGCAGUGGAAUGAGCGGCGGACGGGUGAGUAACACGUAAGGAACCUGCCUCAAGGAUUGGGAUAACUCCGAGAAAUCGGAGCUAAUACCGGAUAGUUCAACGGACCGCAUGGUCCGCUGAUGAAAGGCGCUCCGGCGUCACCUUGAGAUGGCCUUGCGGUGCAUUAGCUAGUUGGUGGGGUAAUGGCCGACCAAGGCGACGAUGCAUAGCCGACCUGAGAGGGUGAUCGGCCACACUGGGACUGAGACACGGCCCAGACUCCUACGGGAGGCAGCAGUAGGGAAUCUUCCACAAUGGACGAAAGUCUGAUGGAGCAACGCCGCGUGAGUGAUGAAGGUUUUCGGAUCGUAAAACUCUGUUGUAAGGGAAGAACACGUACGAGAGGGAAUGCUCGUACCUUGACGGUACCUUACGAGAAAGCCACGGCUAACUACGUGCCAGCCGCCGCAGUAA